rnacentral:lncRNA from 1 species
GUUCGAACCUGCGGGGUCACACACAUUAGAGGUUCCUAUCUGAUCUGAUGGCUGAUGAAGAGUCCUAAUGCUCAUGGACUAUGAGUCCUACGUGUCUGAGACUCUGUGAUCGAGAAUCAGAUUCUCUGAUCAUGAGUCCCACACAUUUUGGGUACUGGGGUCAAGAGUCCCACUGGUUUGGGACUCUUCGAUCAGGGUUACAUAUUGAUGAAUUCUGAUG